rnacentral:tRNA from 1 species
UUCCUGGUGGCUCAGACGGUAAAGCGUCUGCCUGCAAUGCGGGAGACCCGGGUUUGAUUCCUGGGUUGGGAA